UACGGAGGGUGCAAGCGUUAUCCGGAUUCACUGGGUUUAAAGGGUGCGUAGGUGGGAAUGUAAGUCAGUGGUGAAAUCUCCGUGCUUAACAUGGAAACUGCCAUUGAUACUAUGUUUCUUUGAAUUUUCUGGAGGUAAGCGGAAUAUGUCAUGUAGCGGUGAAAUGCUUAGAUAUGACAUAGAACACCAAUUGCGAAGGCAGCUUACUAUGGUAUGAUUGACGCUGAGGCACGAAAGCGUGGGGAUCAAACAGG
rnacentral:rRNA from 1 species